rnacentral:rRNA from 1 species
UACGAAGGGUGCAAACGUUGCUCGGAAUUAUUGGGCGUAAAGAGCUCGUAGGCGGUUUGUCGCGUCGAAUGUGAAAACCCGGGGCUCAACUCCGGGCCUGCAUUCGAUACGGGCAGACUAGAGUUCGGUAGGGGAGUCUGGAAUUCCUGGUGUAGCGGUGAAAUGCGCAGAUAUCAGGAGGAACACCGGUGGCGAAGGCGGGACUCUGGGCCGAUACUGACGCUGAGGAGCGAAAGCGUGGGGAGCAAACAGG